GAAGAAGACAGGAGGGGGGGAAGCUUGAAAGCUGAGGCCGUUCUGCUGUAAUCUGCCGCCGUCGGGCUCUCUGUGAAACCCUAGCUGUAGUGUAGUCGUAGAUCAGUGACUUGCAUUUGAGCCUCUUAGAUUUAGAGCACUGAUUGCACUCUUAUUUCAUUAAGCACAACUCCAAAGCACAUGAGCGUACAGCCAAGACGAUCCACGGUAAAAA